GUCACCACGAGCGCGAGAAGUCGAAGGUAGGAGCAGAAAGCGGUGUUAGUGUUAGUUCUGGCCCGUUUGGACCCAAACUAAAGUGUAUCAGUAUGAAGCAGGCGGUGACGGCGCACUGAUUCACUCUCGGAGCUCGGUUCACUAAUGACCGAAUCACCGAGGAACCGACCAAAGAUAACUCACACCCGCACGAAGAAGAACAAGAGGAGGAGAAGAUGAGCUGGAGUGGGGCAAAGAGAACUGCAUUCAGAUCAAACGGAUACAAGAGAGGUGGCCGAGUUGUUUGAGGAUCUAAAGAAUUGAGUGUCACAAUUCAACAUGCACAUCAGCGAAACUUUUCCCUCUGACUACACCAGCACGCACGCACAGAAAUUCAUAGUGCAGGUGGUGAUUGCAGGCGCAUUUUAUCCGAACUGCUUCCUCCAGGGAGCUGUGGACGAGGAGCUCGCCUCCAAGGAACUCUAUGGAAACGACCCCAGGACCACCAUAGUGGUGUGUAAUCUCCCUCCAUUUGCAUUCCUCUACUAUAAACAGCUCCAGUCUCUCUUCAGACACUGUGGUUAAAUCAAAUCCAUCUCCUUUGACAGCUCCAGGGCCUAUGUAGAGUUCUACCGCUCGUCAAUGAGAGGUUCUGGCGUUCUCCCAGAGGUCUCUCUGUCUCUCCUCCUCACGCAGCAGAGACUUCCUCUCCAUGUCAACGUUUAACCUGCUGGAGAGGUGGAGACUUGGGCAGGGGGGUAGUGUAUCUCACACCUCAGAUAUACACGGGUGAAUGUGGAUUUUCAGAAUCAGUCAGUGAGCCCUGUCAGGGGUUCUGAGCAGCUCCAUUGAGUUGGAGAAUCUUCCGUCUAACCCUGUCUUUAUCGUCAAUAUCACUGAGGUGUCUGUUCCGCCUCUUUCACUUUCAGUGCACAAAUAAAAAAGAAGCAGUGGCUCCUGUGUGUGUGUGUGUGUGUGUGUGUGUGUGUGUGUGUGUGUGUGUGUGUGUGUGUGUGCGUGUGUGUGUGUGUGUGCACUAACAGGAGGUCCAGGUGCAGCCUUUGGAUAUUGAUGAAGAUUUACUGCCCCUGCAAGACCUUCCUCAACUGCGUAGUCUGGAGCAAAGGAUGCAACAGAGCCCAGAUUACAAGCAAAAUCUGGUAAACUGGUUGGCGCUUAUUGACGGGGUGUAUGUGCGUGACUGCACCUGGCGCAUAUUGAAGAGGGUGAUUGCUAACUCCCUGGAAAAGAAUGUCAAUUGGAGGGGAGUCAAUGGAAAGACUUCACUGUCCGCUCUCCAACUCGGAGAGGUCGUGAUUGGAGACGCACCUACGUCUUAAAGUAUUAAAGAUCAUCAAAGGUUACUCUGCCCUUGGGUGAGUCAAGUCUUCCACUCGAACUUUAAUUCGAAAGCAAGAGGGGUCGCUAUUUUAAUUGACAAAAGGUCACAGUUUUCCUCCACUAACGUUGUUGCUGAUGUGAACGGUAGAUAUAUUAUAGUUGCUGGUACUCUGAUGCAAAGACAGGUGUUGUUGGUAAAUGUACACGCUCCAAACUUUGAUGAUGUGGAAUUUGCUAAUAGAUUGUUGAGCAAUCUCCCUUUUUAAAUACUCACCUGUAGAUUUUCGGGGGAGAUUUAAACUGUGUAAUUCACCAAAACUUGGAUCGGUCUAAUCCCCGUACUCUGAAUCAAUCUGCUAUGUCUAAAACAUUUUCCGAUUUUAUGGGUCAGAACGGUCUCGUUGAUCCCUGGAGAUCCCGUAACUCUGCUCUUAAAAAGUUUUCUUUCUUCUCCCAGGUGCUAUCCUAUUGAAAUCCUAUUCGAGGAUUGAUUAUUUUUUAUAGACAGCACUCUUGAUUCUUGUGUAGUUUCUUCUGACUAUUUGGGUAUUGUAAUUUCUGACCAUGCGAUCAUGAAUUAGAUAUUCAUCUUUCUAUUUAUAAACGUAGCCCACCGCCUUGGAGAUUUAAUUCUCUUCUUUUAGCAGACAGUGAAUUCUGUGAGUUCAUUUCUACUUCUAUGGAUGACUUUCUUUUCUUCAGUCAGAAUGACUCCACCUCUUAUUCAUUGUUAUGGGAGACUCUUAAAUCCUAUAUCAGAGGGCAGAUUAUUUCUUACUCCACUCUCUGUAAUUAAAAGCGCACUGCUAGGGUUAAUGAACUUACAUCUGCGAUCAGUAGUCUCGAUCAAAGAUGUACGUUGAACCCCUCUCCAGAACUUCUUAAACAGCGAAUCGACUUACAGGCAGAAUUCAAUCUUAUUUCGACUAAAGAGGCGGAACGCUUGUUGUUACGUACUCGUGGUUCAUAUUAUGAACAUGGCGACGAGCCGAGUCGUUUACUGGCACGUCAGCUACGGCGACAGGCCGCUUCCCGUCUCAUACCUAGUGUUAAAAACACUCAUAAUAUCGUCACAACAGAGCCCAUGGAAAUUAAUGCUACUUUUAAAUGGUUUUACUCUUCACCUUAUAAAUCUGAAUUUCCUGCAGACGAUACUAAAGUGAAUGCAUUUCUUCAAGACCUUUGUAACCCUGUUAGUGAUUCGAAUACUGCCAUGCAACUGGACUCCCCACUCUCUUCAAGAAAUUUGAAUUCAGUUAAAACUAUGCAGUGUAACAAAGCUCCUGGCCCGGACGGGUUUCCAGUUGAAUUUUUUAAAAUGUUUAUUGGAAAAUUAGCUCCAUUGCUUUUAUCUGUGUUCAACGAAUCCUUGGAAUGUGUCUUUGCCUCUGACUCUGACACAAGCCACGAUAGCUCUGCUUCUUAAGGAGGGUAAGGAUCCAAGCUCCUGUGGUUCUUAUAGGCCGCUGUCUCUGCUUAAUGCAGAUGUAAAGGUGUUGGUGAAAGUAAUGGCAUCUCGUUUAGAGGACAUUAUCCCUUAUAUUAUAUGUGAAGAGCAGAAGGGUUUUAUAAAGGGACGUCAGAUGUUUUUCAAUACCCGUACGCUCUUUAAUAUAAUUUAUUCAAAGCAUUCGGCAGUGCUUCCUGAGAUUGUGAUUUCAUUAGAUGCUGAAAAAGCAUUUGAUAGGGUUGAGUGGGAGUAUUUGUUUGCAGUCUGAGGAAGUUCUGAUUUGGGGAUAAGUUUAUUUCUUGGAUUCGCCUCCUUUACUCAAGCCAGGGUUCAGACAAACGAUACUUAUUCUGAUUAUUUUACUCGGACGAGGGUCUCGUCAAGGUUGUCCUUUAUCGACUCUGCUUUUUGCUGUCGCUAUCGAACCUCUGUCUAUCGCAUUAAGAUCUUCUCCCUUGUUUAAAGGAAUAGUUCGAUACGGUGUAGAAUACAAAUUGUCGCUAUAUGCUGAUGAUUUGUUAUUGUAUGUAACCGAUCCUGUUGCCUCUAUGCCUGCUGUCUUGGCUGUUCUGGAGUCCUUCGGUGUUGUCUCUGGUUAUAAAUUAAACUUGGAUAAAAGCGACUGUUUUCCUGUCAAUACUGCAGCAUUUUCUCUCCAACAGUCAGAUUUACCGUUUCGAUUUAGUCAGUCAGGGUUUAGGACUUGCAUUACCCAAUUUUCAAUUCUAUUACUGGGCUGCGCACAUCCAUAAACUCUGCUACUGGGUUAAAUCUCCUGGAUCUUCUUGGUCUAAAUUGGAACUAUUGUCGUGUAGGGAAUCCUCUUCACCUGCUUUACUUUACUCCUCUUUACCUACAAAACUCUCCCUAUAUACUGAUAAUCUAGUUGUCCUCAACACUUAUGACUUGGUAUCAGUUUAGACGGCGCUUUAAAUUUGUAGGUGCAUCCUCUUUGUGUCCUUUAGUCAACAACCAUCUAUUUCCUCCAUCGUGUUUGGACUCCACAUUCUCAGUGUGGGAUGACAAGGGUAUUAAACAAGAUAGAAAUUUGUAUUCCGAUGGUGUGUUUGAUAGCUUUGCCAAUCUGGCAUCCACUUAUGACCUCCCUGUGACGCAUUUUUUUUCGGUAUUUUCAAAUUCGGAAUUUCGUUUCUAGAUGUUUUCCUGAUUUCCCCUCUGUGCCUCCUGAACAGGCUUGGGAAAGCUUGUUUUCAAACAAUCCACAUCAGAGAGGAAUGAUGGAGCAGAAGGGCUUGCAUGUGCCUUUACUAAAUUCAAUAACUUGACUUUUGAUAGGUCACUUAUGCACAUACUUGCUCACUAAAAUGGCGGGUGCUUGUGUCUUCUUGUUCAGCUUCUUCUUUGUCGGUUGACAGUGUUGUACUUGAGCGCCAUCAAGUGGUACUUUUAUGUAGCUUCACCGGCUCCGGGCACGUAAACAAAAGUGUGAAUCUCAUUGGGCGGCCGGUUUCUGCUGCUUUUCCGCCACAUGUUUUAUGCCCGAGUGUGAAAACUCAUUGACAGCGACAGGGGGCGUUCAACAGACCGUUUUGAACCGUCCCCGUGUGAACAGGGCUUUAGGUGUUCAUUGUGUGCAUUGUAGUGUGUUGUUCCUGCCGUGGAAAUUAGACAACACUCUCAGACUCGUCCUCUGAAGGUAAAAAGGUUUAUUACAGAAAGAUGGUUAAUACAGGAUAGAAUAAAGCAGGACAGAAUAAUGAGAGCGCUCUGAAGCCCUUGUACUAAACCACUACUAUAGAUAUGAAACUCGGAGCAUGACAUCAUUCUGUGUACCGAUAAGAAGCAGUUUGAGGCAGUUCAAACAGGCUUUGUUUUAGGAUCUUAGAUGAUGUUUAGACGAGCCUAGAACAGAAGAACAUGUUUGUGUCUCUGUAAGCAGAUAAACAUUCUGUACUGAUCUCAGUGACAUCACAUGGCCUUCUGAGUGGUUAUCCUCACAUGAGAAUGAAACAGAACAAGAACAAAACUAUUUCAAAGUAAAAAUGAAUAAUUUCCCUCACAGUGUAAUGAACAGAAUCUGUUGUUUGUUAAUAACUGGAAUCUGUUCUGGGAGCGUCCUAGGUUGUUUCGUCCUGAUGGCCUGCACCCCAGCAGCCUCGGAGCGGAACUGCUGUCUGACAACAUCUCCAAGACGCUACACUCCAAGUGACUGUCUACCUUGUUGGCAGCUCAGCGGGCGAGACGUGUGGCUCUGAUCGCUCGGAUCAAUAGUCUAAGGCUGGAAGUUCAGUGCAUAGGGUAAGUCAACACCUGUUUCAGUGUUUAUUUACAGUCACAGUGUUUAACUCACACUUCACGUGCAGAAGAAGGAGGACAGGGUGAAGGAAAUGCGCCAUACCGUGGCGUAGGGCACGGCCAACAGGCUGCAGCUCCAGACCCGGCGGUAGGGAUGCACAAUUCAGCUAAUUAAAACUUGUCUAUUUUUUUUUUUAAACUACGUUCAACCACUCUGCUAAUGAUUCAUCGGUGACUCGAUCACUUGAGUUUUAUUUUACUGUGUUUAUAUUGUUUGGGGAGAGUGUGUGUUCUGUCCAUGGAUAACGGUUUAGAUGUACAACGAAGUGCGUGAGUUUAAAAGACCUGUGCUCCUGUAGGUGUUGAGAGCUCAGUGAAAAAAAGCAUGAUGUUUGAAUGUGUACAUAUGAGUAGAAUAUUUGUUUUGUGAAAUAAAUGAAAACAAAUGUUGAUUACGGUUUUAGGGAGGCUGGUUUGCCUUUGAAUAAAAAGUUUAGGAGGUAAAGCGUUUUUUUAAAAAAAGAAUUGCAUGUAUUUCCUUCUAAACAUAAGCCUUUAGGAUGUAAAAAUGGUUAAAAGAGCUGUUUAAAAAGGAUAACCCAUAUUACAUGACUUCUAAGCAAAGAUCCUUUAUGAGGUAAAAAUGUUAGUGUUGGCUAAAAGAAUCGCCGUAUUGUUUAAACUAGAAGAUAGGUUUUCGCAAGAUGUCUUCCAUUCGCUUGUUUCACAUCAUAUGAAAAAACUAAACUUAACUCCGUGUAUUUUUUGUAUUAU